rnacentral:rRNA from 1 species
CAUAGGUUAAUGAGGCGAACCGGGGGAACUGAAACAUCUAAGUACCCCGAGGAAAAGAAAUCAACCGAGAUUCCCCCAGUAGCGGCGAGCGAACGGGGAGCAGCCCAGAGCCUGAAUCAGUAUGUGUGUUAGUGGAAGCGUCUGGAAAGGCGCGCGAUACAGGGUGACAGCCCCGUACACAAAAAUGCACAUGCUGUGAGCUCGAUGAGUAGGGCGGGACACGUGGUAUCCUGUCUGAAUAUGGGGGGACCAUCCUCCAAGGCUAAAUACUCCUGACUGACCGAUAGUGAACCAGUACCGUGAGGGAAAGGCGAAAAGAACCCCGGCGAGGGGAGUGAAAAAGAACCUGAAACCGUGUACGUACAAGCAGUGGGAGCACGCUUAGGCGUGUGACUGCGUACCUUUUGUAUAAUGGGUCAGCGACUUAUAUUCUGUAGCAAGGUUAACCGAAUAGGGGAGCCGAAGGGAAACCGAGUCUUAACUGGGCGUUAAGUUGCAGGGUAUAGACCCGAAACCCGGUGAUCUAGCCAUGGGCAGGUUGAAGGUUGGGUAACACUAACUGGAGGACCGAACCGACUAAUGUUGAAAAAUUAGCGGAUGACUUGUGGCUGGGGGUGAAAGGCCAAUCAAACCGGGAGAUAGCUGGUUCUCCCCGAAAGCUAUUUAGGUAGCGCCUCGUGAAUUCAUCUCCGGGGGUAGAGCACUGUUUCGGCAAGGGGGUCAUCCCGACUUACCAACCCGAUGCAAACUGCGAAUACCGGAGAAUGUUAUCACGGGAGACACACGGCGGGUGCUAACGUCCGUCGUGAAGAGGGAAACAACCCAGACCGCCAGCUAAGGUCCCAAAGUCAUGGUUAAGUGGGAAACGAUGUGGGAAGGCCCAGACAGCCAGGAUGUUGGCUUAGAAGCAGCCAUCAUUUAAAGAAAGCGUAAUAGCUCACUGGUCGAGUCGGCCUGCGCGGAAGAUGUAACGGGGCUAAACCAUGCACCGAAGCUGCGGCAGCGACGCUGAUGCGUUGUUGGGUAGGGGAGCGUUCUGUAAGCCUGCGAAGGUGUGCUGUGAGGCAUGCUGGAGGUAUCAGAAGUGCGAAUGCUGACAUAAGUAACGAUAAAGCGGGUGAAAAGCCCGCUCGCCGGAAGACCAAGGGUUCCUGUCCAACGUUAAUCGGGGCAGGGUGAGUCGACCCCUAAGGCGAGGCCGAAAGG